ensembl:lncRNA
ACGCGAGGAGUUAGAGAGCAACCAGGCUGCCUGGCUGUCCCAGGCAGAAAAGUACGAGAACUCACACCUGGGCGGUUACCGGCGCAUUUAUCCAGCAUGUGGAACAGAGAAGUAUGAGCCGUUUUUCAAGCAGAGUGGCUCCCUCUUCCAGGAAACAGUGUCAUCCAAAGCACGAGAGGAGUGUGCCAGGUAUACUGCCCCUGUGGAAAACCCACUCCUCACAGGGGUGGCAUAGAGCCUGCUUGCUUAUGAUCCCUUCUUGGGAGCAACUCUGCUGCUUACAGAUGUAAGCAAGCUAGUGAGAGGUGGAAAGGAAGGAGUCUGCAUGUGCUGUGUCACCAUAGCAAAGCAACUUCCUUUCGCAUGUAGCCUUGAGAGGCAAAUGCAAUAUUCCAUUGACUUUUGGACUCUGGCAGCACCGUAUCGCAAGUGUCCUCCACCCUUCUGGCCGGCACAGCCUAAUUCAAGGGCAUGUCUCACAGUGGUGAGAGUCUCUUUUAAAAGCACUCCUGGCCUAUUUCUUGGCACAAUUCUAUUAUAGUCUAUUCCCUACAGAACUUCUGACUGCAGUAAAAUGUCCUCAGAUUGAAGGCUUCAUAAUAGCCUUUUACUAUUAUGGCUCUUCUCGUACCAGUGACUAAGGCUACUGUUGUAUGGCAGGCAGCAACUGGAGGAAAUUCGCCUGAAGAAAGAAAAGUUGGAAGCCAUUACCAGGAAGAAGAAAACAGAGAGGAAAGAAGACCUGCAUGGAGAGUCAGCCGGGGACAAAUCCCAGAUCCGUAAUAAAACCACAGCUCCUAUGACCCGCCUCACUUAUAGAAGCACCAGGACGUGGGAUAGAAAGCUACGGCGCAUGCAGUACGACUCUAUGCAACCCCAGGAUAUUGUGGAAGAUGAGGAGAAGAAAAGAGUAAAUGCUCUUCUGCAGCGUGAGAACCUUAUCAGAGGCCUGGGCAUCAUAGAUCAGCUCUCCCAGCUGCUCCCCACAACUGAUAGACCAGCUGACACCCAGAGAUCCUGCACUGUUAUCCCCAAGCACCAGCAGUUUCUCUGGGAGGUGCCUGGGGGCCAGGAGACCCACUGCUUAACAACGCGCAACUCCCUCUCGCUCCUGGGAGGUCCAGUCCGAUCUUCAGGACGGCAGUUCAUACACAAUGCCAGAGCCAACGCCAAGCUGCCAGCCGGCCCAGGCUCGGAUCCUGCUGCCAAAGGCACCCUCUCCAUUCGAGGCCAGAGCAUCCCUUACCACAAGCGGGGCCUCCGGGCGCAGGACACAGGCUGGCUGCGGGGCCAGGCAGCACGGAUGGCAGCGGUUACCCAGCCCUGCACCAAACCCAAGAGGCUGCAGGCAGGAGGCCAGUGGCUCCCUGGCACUGGAAACAAGGCUGAAGGCUGUGAAGGUGGCAGGCUGUCCUUCCACGCAGGCAGCUGUCACCCGGGGUCCCCAGCCAGCACAGGGAAUGCCACAGCCGAUGGCACCUUCACCCGGGUUCCCCAGCCAGCACGGGGAAUGCCACAGCCGAUGGCACCUUCAGCUGUGCUGCAGUCCAGGAGCAAACCAUCUCCUCCGCCACCCACGUGCAGCACACGCGUGCCUCGCACCGUGCUGGUGCCUCACACGCUCGCAGCGUGA